ACUAAAUCCGAGGGAAGAAAAUGGAGAUGAAAACGAAGAAGAGAAAAACAAACAAGGAAAAGGGUUUUACGCUUGCUAUCUCUUGACUUCCCUCUGCCCUCGCUUCAAAGGCCAUACCUAUAUAGGAUUUACAGUGAAUCCACGGCGUCGUAUCAGGCAACACAAUGGUGAAAUCAGAAGCGGAGCUUUUAGAACCAAGAAAAGGCGACCUUGGGAAAUGGUCUUCUGCAUU
rnacentral:misc_RNA from 1 species